rnacentral:rRNA from 1 species
GACGAACGCUGGCGGCGUGCUUAACACAUGCAAGUCGUGCGGUAAGGCCCUUUCGGGGGUCCACGAGCGGCGAACGGGUGCGUAACACGUGAGCAACCUGCCCUUCACUUUGGGAUAACUGCCGGAAACGGUGGCUAAUACCGGAUAUGACUUCCUCACGCAUGUGGGGUGGUGGAAAGCCUUCGGGUGGUGGGGGAUGGGCUCGCGGUCUAUCAGCUUGUUGGUGGGGUGAUGGCCUACCAAGGCUUCGACGGGUAGCCGGCCUGAGAGGGUGACCGGCCACACUGGGACUGAGACACGGCCCAGACUCCUACGGGAGGCAGCAGUGGGGAAUAUUGGACAGUGGGCGAAAGCCUGAUCCAGCAACGCCGCGUGAGGGAUGACGGCCUUCGGGUUGUAAACCUCUUUCGCCUGCGACGAAGCGAGAGUGACGGUAGCAGGUAAAGAAGCACCGGCCAACUACGUG